rnacentral:rRNA from 1 species
GACGAACGCUGGCGGCGUGCUUAACACAUGCAAGUCGAACGGAGUGGCGAACGGGUGAGUAACACGUGGGUGACCUGCCCUGCACUUCGGGAUAAGCCUGGGAAUCUGGGUCUAAUACCGGCUAGUGUGGGAUGGGCCCGCGGCCUAUCAGCUUGUUGGUGGGGUAAGGGCCUACCUAGGCGGCGACGGGUAGCCGGCCGGAGAGGGUGACCGGCCACGUUGGAACGGAGAUACGGCCCAGAGUCCUACGGGAGGCAGCAGUGGGGGAUAGUGCACAAUGGGCGAAAGAGUGAUGCAGCGACGCCGCGGGGGGGAUGAAGGCUGUAGGGUUGUAAACCUCGUUCGCUAGCGAACGGGUAGGUGGAGAAGAAGCACCGGCUAACUACGUGCCAGCCGCCGCGGUAAUAC